rnacentral:rRNA from 1 species
CCUACGGGGGGCAGCAGUGGGGGAUAUUGCACAAUGGGGGAAACCCUGAUGCAGCGACGCCGCGUGUGGGAAGACGGUCCUCUGGAUUGUAAACCACUGUCCCCAGGGACGAAGAUGACGGUACCUGGGGAGGAAGCUCCGGCUAACUACGUGCCAGCAGCCGCGGUAAUACGUAGGGAGCGAGCGUUGGCCGGAAUUACUGGGGGUAAAGGGAGCGUAGGCGGGACUGCAAGUUGGGUGGCAAAUCUAGCGGCGCAACCGGUAGCCGCACUCAAAACUGAAGUUCUUGAGUGAAGUAGAGGCAGGCGGAAUUCCUAGUGUAGCGGUGAAAUGCGUAGAGAUUAGGAGGAACACCAGUGGCGAAGGCAGCCUGCUGGGCUUUUACUGACGCUGAGGCUCGAAAGUGUGGGGAGCAAACAGGAUUAGAUACCCCAGUAGUC